GGGGAAUAUUGGACAAUGGGGGCAACCCUGAUCCAGCCAUGCCGCGUGUGUGAAGAAGGCCUUCGGGUUGUAAAGCACUUUAAGUUGUGAGGAAGGGGUAACGGUUAAUACCCGUUAUCAUUGACGUUAGCAACAGAAUAAGCACCGGCUAACUCCGUGCCAGCAGCCGCGGUAAUACGGAGGGUGCAAGCGUUAAUCGGAAUUACUGGGCGUAAAGCGCGCGUAGGCGGUUUGGUCAGUUGGAUGUGAAAGCCCCGGGCUUAACCUGGGAAUUGCCUUCAAUACUGCCAGGCUAGAGUACGAGAGAGGGGGGUAGAAUUCCAAGUGUAGCGGUGAAAUGCGUAGAUAUUUGGAGGAAUACCAGUGGCGAAGGCGGCCCCCUGGCUUGAUACUGACGCUGAGGCGCGAAGGCGUGGGGAGCAAAC
rnacentral:rRNA from 1 species